CCUUUCUUUGAAUGCUUAGAUACAGCGGCAACGUCCAAACACUCCACCUUGCUUUUUAUCCUCGCUGUCAUACUCAAUGCCUUGAACCUGUUCUCCCAG
rnacentral:misc_RNA from 1 species